GGAUUUCCCCAUACCACAAUUGUGUAAGUUGAAAUUCGUCUAUUGCUGAAAUAUGCCAUUCCCGAUUUUGUUGAUGUAUGUGCUGUCUUGCUUCUCAACUGCAAAUCCAUUAACUUCGUCAAGAUCACAAGAAUAUUUGGCAGCAUAAAAGCAUCACACGUAUCAUCCUUUUGACACCCGGAUAUUUAAAAAAUAUUAUUUAAUAGAAAAGAGAAAACUAUGAAGAACUCGAUUCGGAUGCAUGUAAAAAUAACAGUGGGUGAUAAAUUUCUAAUAGACUCUAGUUAAGAAAGGCAUCAAAUGGGGUUGAUUUUAAAAUUUAUAUUUAAAUUAGAAAAAUGAUUUUAAUGCAACAAGAAACGUACAUAUCCCCCGUAUAGAUUGCUACUUUUAGGAGUUUUUAUAGAAAAAUGUACUGUAACGAUUUUUAAUGUAUGUGAAGUAAAAACCUGAUUGAAAAAUGUGUUUAUGAAAAAUAUAAAAAUUUUGUUGCGUAAAAUCACACUCCAAACAAGGUAAAUUGUCUGCAUUCGCACGACAAAUUUGGGAUGAAUUAGGUGCAUUAUGACGUCAGUAUAGCCCAAAAAUGGUUUAAGAAGAGAAGAAAACGAAAGUUGUCUAGAUCAUCAAAAGAGGGAAGAAACUCAACUAUUAUUGGCAAUUUAACCGUGUAUUGAUUUAAUCAUUCUCAACGUUUUCAAGACAAAUUAUACUGAAAUAUAUCUGCUAACAUUGGUCAGUGAUUCUUACCAAGAUAAAAAGAAGCACAUAUGGUUGACAAAUAGUACAACUAACUUGUAAUAAUAAGCACAUGUAUCAAUAUUGUAUGUUGUCGGAUCUUCAGAAAAUAACUCUUUAAUUAGUUUUGCUAGAAAUACUUAAUAGUAAGAUAAAACUCUCAAGUGCCCAAAAAAAAGAAUAACUUUUCCGCUAUACUGAAAAACAAAUAAGAUUCACAAAAUAAAUGCAUAAAAGAGUAAAAUCGAUAUUCUCUAAUAAUAAACUAUUUGUACUAUAAAUGUCAAUUAUUGAUUUUUAUUUUUUAUUUUUUUGCUUUGCCGAAUCUAAUAAAACGUAUGCAAUGUAAUGGAUUGGUUGCUGUUGGAUGUCUUUUUUGCGUAACGAUUUAGUCAUGCAAGCUGUAACAGCACAUCAGCAAGCCAUCCCAGUCUGUAAUAAUAAAACUCUUUUGCUGGCCACAUGCAAAUGAUCCAUUUGUCCCAAAAUAGGUAAUAAUAAAACUCUUUUGCUGGCCACAUGCAAAUGAUCCAUUUGUCCCAAAAUAGAAGAAGUUCCAGACAAGGCAUAAGGAUAAGAAGUUCCAGAUAAGGCACAAAUAUAAAGGAACUUCUUUUUUUUUGGGAUAAUUUCAGAAACUUCCCCUGAGGUUUCUAACAAUUUCAUUGAACUCCCAUAUGAUUUGGAAAAUUACACUUAGCUCCCUUAAUUUGAUUGUUUUAGUAACAAAAUCUUAAAAUAAUAUUGAUUUGGUCAAUUUUUUAAAUGAAUACCCAAAAAUGCUCUUGUGUAAUGAGUUUUAAUUUAUUUUUCUAUAUAAUUAUAAGAUUAUUUAGUAUAAUUAUAAGGAAAAGGUACCAAAUUUUUCAUGUCUAUAUCUACUAUAAACAACUAUAAUAAUAGUUUUAUUACUAUGAUAUGAUACUUUUAAUGGUAUUUUAUUAUGGAUUUAGAUAUAUAAGAUAGAAAAGAAAAUGUUGAAAUAAUUCAUUUAGAAUUUAUAAAUUUUUAGAGUAGCAGGAUUAUCAUAAUUUAGUAGUGCCUUUAGGCCCUUCUUUUUUAUUUAUUAUUAAUUUUAAUACCAAAAUAUAGAAAACAAAUAUCAGCAAAAAUAUUGGAUAACAUAUAAAAUUAACUCGUCAAAAAAAAUUAUUAGUUCGACAUUUGGUUAUGAUAGAAACUAGAGGCAAUAAUAGUAGUUCUAUAGUUUUAUUGGUGAAAACUUAAAAAAAAGGAAUAAGAAGAAUGAAAAAAUAAUUUUAAAACUCAUUCUAAGUAUUAGUAUACCAAAUAAAGGAAUUUCACUAAAAUAUUUAAGCGUAAAAUUGUCAUUUUAAAUAAUAAGGGAGGUAUGUGUAAUUUUUUAAACUUUAAGGGAGUUCGAUGGCAUUAUAGAAACCUCAGGGAGGUUUCUAAAAUUAUCCCUUCUCAUAAGAUAGUCGUGUUAUCCACAAUUCUUGGAAAGAAGGAUACCUUAACCAUUUGAGACUCCAAAGUCCCUUUUUGGCUGCUCCACCGCCAACGUCUUCACCUAAAAGAAACGCGUGUAAAGUGUAAACGUUGACAGAGGUACCAAACAUGUGAAAAAGAAAAUAAAAAAUGCGUCAAAGUCCUAGUCAUCCAUCCCACCGUUUGCACGCAGGUGUCGAUUGUCAGACACGGCAGCACGUUUUGUGCUUUCGUCUGGUCGGUUGUUGUACACUUGUACUUGCAACCUUUUGACGUAUCCGUUUGGAUUGGGAGCAAUACACUUUUUCGUUAGAGUAAUGCACUUCAAAAAAUACUCUAAAUACAAAUUCAAAUAUAUAAAAAUGCUUAAAAAAAAAAAUUUACGACCUUUUCCUUUCUUCGUUCACCAUCACUAUGUCUCCGGUCCUCCUCUUUCCACUUCUCUUCUCUUUCCUUCUUUUUUUCCUUCUUUUUUCCAUGCUCCUUUCUCGUCCUCUCUUUAGCACCACCAUUGAUACCUCCAUCAACCCCACCUUCACUGUACGUAUCACUUCCUACUCUUUUCCUCCUUCAUUCGCUUUCUCCCUCCCUCCCCUCCCUUCU
rnacentral:lncRNA from 1 species